UGAUGCACUUACUGUGACCAUCUGUGCAAUUGGCACCCACCUGCACAAUCCGCCUUACUUUCUGUACUGCUUUGUGAAUACUGAUAGUCAUUUCCUUCACUAUGCUCGAUCUUACAGCACAGUUGGCAACUGGAUUUUGAGCGGAAACCAUAAAACUCACAUCAAAAGCUUUCUUUAAGACUGAUAUCAAAAAGGCAAUACUGGAUUAAACAGCUCUAUUGUAUAACACUUUUGCUUCUUCAAAAUGGGCUGUUCUCCAUCAAAAGGAAAGUUACUUUUAAAACCACACAACUUUGGAAUUCAGAAGACACGUUCAGAGGGUGCAGAUUGUGGACCUGCGGUUGUAGAACUUCAAUGCAAGGAAGAGGAAUCACCACCACUCACUGAGGAGCAUAAUACAAAUACAUCUUUUUUGACUCUGGUGGACUCUGACCGGUUUCCGGAAAAUGCUAUGGAUAAUAAGGUAACAGAAGUAAAUGAAAUGUCCCAGGAACUACUUGGAGAUUUCAUUCAAGCCGAUUUGAUUCAGAAAAUGGAAACUCAAAAGAAGACAAUCGAGAAGAGAUCAACAGAAAGGCAAAGAAAGUGUUUUGUCACUGACCAAACAAAGGUGGACUUCCCACCACACGUGGUAAGGGCUCUGCAGGGGGCCUACAAUUUCCUGAACCCAAAUAUUUCCAAAUAUGAAACUCUUUUGGGGCUGCUGGACCAGGCAAACAAGACUCGACUAUCCCUCCAGCCGAUGAUAUCUGCAAUUGGGUUGUGCUUUGAGGAAAUCAAUCAGGCACUAGAAGAUAUGGCUGAAGAUGGGGAGCUGAUGCUGAAGGAGCACGGGGACAGCAUGACCCUACCGUCUCGGAUGUUGGGUGAAGGUGUAAGGUCAGCUAAACCUUGCACUACUACAGCGGAUCAUUUUUAUCUACCACCAGAUAUUUUACAACAACUGCUUCAGCGAUCAGAACAAAUUAGGCAAGUUAGUAGCUCAGUAAAGAAUCUAAGUGAUUCUGCACUUGAGAAGGUCAUAGAGUAUUUAUCUUGUCUUUCUAAACAGUUUGCUGAGAAACUGCAAGCUAAGCAGACUGCAGAGCUUAGGCUGGCUCAUAUACUUGCAAGGAUAGAGGCAACAGCCAUUAGAAAGUCUAACCCUGAAGAUUCUGCAUUGCAUAGUGAGGACAGUGGUAUAGGGGGAGAGAGUGAGAGUUUGACAGGAUCUGAACAGCAUCAAUGCAACCGUGGGAGUGCUGGAUCUGGAAGUUUUGGGUCUGAAGUCAAUAUUUGGGGUAUGGCUCAAAAUGUUUCUAAUAACCUAGCCAGUUUUGUAACAUGUAAUGAAGAUGAUGAAGAUCAGGAUAAGGAGGAGGAAGAAGAGCAUGUGGAAAAACAUGAAGAUGAUGCAAAUGAUUCCCAUGAGAGAAAGAGGUCAAGCUUUUCUCCACCAGGUCCCUGUAACACUCUUCAUUACAUGAACUUAAACUCUAUAAGAAAUCAGCAGUCCACCUAUGAACAACUUUUUACUUCCACCAAAGCUGAAGACUCUUCAUCCAACAGCGGUAUAAAUGUGAUAUCAGAUCUACUAAAGAGCCAGAAAGAAUUAAAUAAAAAAAUGAAAAAGAUUUCUGAAAUGCAACGACUAAAUGACUUUGCAAGGCCUCAUUGUAAUUUUUAUCAAAAUGGACUCAGGCGACAUUCAUUAAAUGAAUUAACUGGUGUACACAAAAGCCAAAUGAGAACAAAUAUGUCACCAUGUUCAUUAUUUUCGUCACCGUUACCACCAAAAUCUCCACUAAAGCAGCACUCAGUCAGAAGGCUCAUAAAUACAUUUACCCAAGGUCUUGAUGGGAGGCCAGGACAGAAUCUUUCAGAUACUUCUCAUCAUAUCAUGAGGCUGAAAAAAAAUUUUAAUCUUGCAGUGUCUAACAUAGUUAAUAGUACUGGAGGUGAUAUAGUCAGCUGCAACAACAGUAGGAGCUGCCCAGAUGGCAGGGAUGACUUAAACAUGGAUAAUCUACCACCUCCGCCCCUGGAAGUUCUAAUGGACAAUUCCUUUCGACACGAUGAAGGCGAACUACAAAAUGAAAAUAUUCACAAUGACCCACUUCUAAGUCUCCCAUUCAUACACCAGAACAGUGGGAUUUCCCGGCGAAGGAAGAUAGCCAUGCAGAAUGUUGAAGUUUUGCCAAACAAAGCAAAUGUAAAACCGAAAUCAAUUGCUAUAUCACCUGCCCCUCCUAUGAGAAAAGAGAGGGUUACUGAGGGGCAACAUAAGCUGCUGCAAUUUGAAUCAGAGAUGUCUGAAAAAACUGAGGAAACGAAAAGACUCUACAAGCAAGCAAGACAGAUUAUUCAUUUGUGCAAUGCAGGAGAAUCCCCUGACAAUAAAAAUAUUGUAGUUCAAAGCUCAGGAGAUUUAACAUCCCUUCAAGCUACACAUAGCCAGAGAUGUGAAAACAAUGAAAUGUUGGAAUCUGAUAUGCACUCUUGUAAUCUGCCUGUCAUUGCACCGCCUGCUUCAAGAGUCCGCUUUCCACCUUCAAGUCCUUCUGUGUGCCACAACUUUCCAAGUCCCCCUGUGUUCAGACAGCGUUCUAUCUCUCGAUCCUCUUCUCUCUCUACUUCUCCAAAAACUGUUGCACAUGCAAAUGAUAACAGCACCGAACAUAUAAGUCCAUCUGUGUCCUUUCAUGAUGCACGCUCAGUCUUCUGUCAAAACGAGGUGCAAAGUUUUCAAACUUGCCUGUCCAUUAGAAGUUCUGAGCUUCCCAGAAAAUGGGGAGGCUUCGUUCCAGGCAGGUUAUCUACCAGAGGAAGAGACAACCCAAUGCAUCAUUGUCAGUCAGAACAGAGGCCUGGGAUGUCCUCCUAUUCAGAGUUGGAAAUAGAUCACCAUUUAAUUUCACAACAAACCAAGAAAGAUGAAUCUGUUGCAGAAAAAUAAAGAUCAGUGUGGACAACCCACUUCGCUCACCAGCCAUGGCAGGCGCACUAUCGACUAGGCAGCCCUAUAAAGACAGGAGAAAAGGCCAAGUUGUGUAUAGUUGGUGCUGUUCCGAGGACAAACUUGAAUGGAGCUGCUUCUGGUUUGGGGUUUAAAAAUAAAAUACACUGAACAAGAAUGAUAAUAUAAAACAUUUUGAAAAAUGUUGCUGAAAUGUUUUUGCUGUCAUUUUUUUUUCCAAAAGUUUUUCUCAUUGGCUUGACCUUAAAUCUGAUUUUAUUUUGCACAAAUUGUUUAGUUUAUGAAGUGUAUUAAAUUACAAUACAGAUGUACUUUUUGUGUGAAUUCCAAGACUUGCUUAUUUAAAAUUUCAGUAGUGUUUUAACCCCAUGGUUAAAAAAAAGGAAAGCUCAAAUCUUAUAAACAUUAAAUAUUGUUGAAACCUAUAUCAUCCAAGAUUCUUGAAGGAGUUGUUGCAGAUGAUGAUAGCUUUGGUCAGUAAAGAUGUCCGGUAGGGGUCAGGAUUACAGCUAAUUUGAAAAAGGCUCUGACUGAAUACACUGUUGCCACAUGAAAGUCUUGUGAAGAGAAUGCUUAGGAUUGUUUGUACUGUGCUUCCCUUUGUGAAGAAUCUUUUUUCAUAGGGGAUUCCAAUGAAGUCCCCAGAACAGAAAGGGCCUUCUUUACCUGCUUGUUGAGCAGCAAGUCACUGGCUCUGGAAGCUGCAACUACAGAUAAUGGCAGAAGAAGAAGAAGACUCUUCACAACAGACUUGUAGAAGAUAUUUAGCAGCUUACUGCAUACACUAAAGGACCUACGCUUCCCCAAGAAGUACAGUUUGUUCUGUUGAUGCUUGUGUACAGCUUCACUGUUGCAGCUUCAUGUUCUGUUGACCAGAUGAAGACCAAUAAACUGUAACCCUGGUGUUCUACUGAAGGUGGAAGUAGUGUGAGAGUGUUACAGUGCAUAGUCAUAGUGCAGCUGCUUUCUGCCAGGCACCCUUUUCCACCAGUAAUGUUUCAGAGUAGAGCUACUCUGAGCGGUUGGACUGAAACAGAAGAGGUUCCCAUAACAGUUCAGCCUUUCAAUCAUAAAUUAAACUUGUUUCAUGUAGGAUCGACAAUGUUUUGAAAAUGGAUGUGUUAAAAAUUUAAUAAUAAUGAUUAACAUUGACAAGUUGUGGGCAAUCAAACAAACAUUACAUGGAAACCUUUUAAGAAAUAGAGAAUAAUGUGACACAUCAAACACUGAAUAACUGCUUCAUAAAAAAGAAAUCAAAAUUAUGUUGUCAUUUCCAAACAAUUUAAACAACUGUGUAAUAACACCCAUCAAAUACUUGGGCAGGAAGAUUCUCACAUGCACCCUCCAUCUGGUGGACACCACAUUGUAUGUGAAUGACCAGAGAAAGCAAAAUGGAAUGUGUGUCAUGUGUGUAGCUUUUCCUUGAUGAAAGCAACACAAUUCUCAAAUCAUUCACGUUUGUGUCUGCAUUUAAUCUUUUCACAGAAACAUCAUCAGAGGAAAAAUGUUAAACAAACACAUUGUGAUUAUAAUAAUGAAGGCAAGAAAAAGUAAUAAAAACAUAUAUGUAAUCAAAUUGUGGUCAAAUGUGUUUAUUUAUUUAGAAAUGUAUUUCAUUCAAUGACUAAAAUACACAGUUGAUAUGAACAAAGAAAUUUAAUGAAAAGGAGUAAAAGGAAGAAAAAUCUUAUGUAACCCACCCCUUCUCUCAAAACGUAAUUUGACUAAAACAUAAGCAACUAAACAUUGCCUUAUACAUACUUAUACAUACUUAUUUAAAGACACAGUGGGCAAAAAGGAAGAAAAUAUAAUCUUGUGUAAUGUCACAGCACUCCAAUGAGUCAAUGUAUUUCAUUAUAUCUUAUCAUCUAUAAGAUAAAGUUGACAGCAGUAGCUCAACCGAUCUACCCCCCAAGAUGGUGUCACAGCAAAAAGGGGCAGAUGUAGCUCCUUUAAACAUACUUGCAUCAGCCCUCUGUUCAUGCAGAACCCCUGAAUGCAAUAUUUUCAACACUAUAAUGCACAGUUGCACACUGAUAAAAACGACAUUUUGUGGUAGUAAAAUGUAUUAAAUCAACUGUGGUAAUUCCUACAAUAAAAUAUUAUAAUCCAGGGAGAACUAUGAUUUAAUAAGUAAUAAUGUAACGUUUCUGGCACUGGAGCUGCUAAUUGCAAUCAGCGCACCUGCGAUUGUCUCCGCCUCUACCUGCUUAUAAGCUCUGCGCAGUGCAGUCUCCAGUGCCAGAACGUCUCGAGCCUUACGGUGAGAACUUCCAGCCAUCUUCCUGAGAAUCUGUCUGUCUGCCUGUCUGCCUGUCGACCUGUUUUGCCAUUGUUUUUUGAGCCAGCCUGAGCCCUUUUGGAUUUGUCUGCCUGCCUGAGUCCUGUUCGUCAGCCUCAGAGAUUUGGACUGCCCACCUGUGUUUCGGACCCUGCCAGCCUGUAAAUUACGGAGAUUGCUUGCCCCUUUUUGUCUGUUGUGCUUCUGGAUUGGAUUUGGAUUUGGAUUGGAUCUGGACCUGGACCCGUUCUUUGGAUUCUCCCUUGGAUACCUCUGCUGGAUAAAACGGAUCUCCCCCCUGCCCAAGACCUGGACUGGACCUGGAUAAGGAAUUGGAUAACCCCUUCACGGACUCUGCUGCUUCCUGUAAACCAGACGCUGCUAAACAAGCCGUCAUCGUACCCCAGGUUAGUGACGCAGCUCCGAGUAAUAUUCCCUCUGUGCCCCGUUGGUCACUAACCCACCACUCUGCCUUCAGGAACCGCCAGAGGCUGUGUGCUGCCGCACAAACCAGGGGGGUCCGCGCCGCCACCAUCUUUAAUAAACUGUUUAAGUUUUA